GCCUCCCCUAAUAUAUCAAGCGAUAGAGUGAAGAGUUUUUAGAGAGAGAAACUAGAGAGAGAAAGAAAAAGAAGAAAAAUUAGGUUUUCUAUAUGUAUUCUCCUUUGCCGUAGAAGAUACCGGAAAAGUUUGUGGAAUUUAACUUCUAGUCCGGAAUUUUAUCUAUAUUCCAAUUUAGUCCCAUAGUUCUUAGAAAAUUCGUAUCAUAUGAGUUCUGGCUCUGAUUAAUGGACGAGAUUUGGGAGAGAGCGGUGGAGACGGCGUUAGACGGCGAGAGAAAUUUCGGUUCUGUGCGAACCCUAACGUUAGACGGAGCCGUUAAGUGUAUUCAUGGUAAGUUACCUCCUCCAUCGAUUUUUGAGAAGUUUCAGAAUCUCGAGCACCUUUCGAUUGCAAACAUCGGUGUUUCGUCGCUAGAACAGUUUCCUCGGCUACAGAAUCUGCAGAAGUUAAUUUUAUCGGACAAUAGAAUCGCCGGAGGCCUCGAGUUCCUCGUAGAUGCUGGUUUAAAUUCACUCCGGGACCUCGAUUUGUCGAAUAAUCGGAUUCAGGAUAUCGACGAUCUCCGGCCGUUGGCUGAACUCCGGCUUGUGUCGCUUGAUCUCUAUGAGUGUCCGGUUACGCGAGUUAAGGACUACCGAUCUAGGGUUUUUGGAUUGAUUAGGUCGUUGAAGUAUUUGGAUAAGAUGGAUGCGGAGGGGAACGAGAGGCCGGAGUCGGAUGAUGAGGAGGAAGAUGAAGAGGAGGAUGAAGAGGAUGAUCCGGGGAGUGGGGAAGUUGAUGGAGAAGAUCGGCCUUACAGGAUGAAUAAUGGACACAGGGUUGGGAGUGAAGGAGUUGUAGAUGUCGAUGAGGACGAGAGUGAUGCUGAUGAGGAAGAAAUGGAGAUAACUCGAGGGAUUAAUGGGUCGAAACAUGACGGUUCGAGUUCGUCUCACCACUCAAAUGGUUUUCGAGUAGAGGCGGUUGGGGAUGGAGACGACGAGGAGGAUGAUGAGGAUGAUGAAGAUGAGGAUUUUGUGGAGGAGAUAGAUGAAGAGGGUGAUGAGGAGGAUGUAGUGGAGGUUCAUGAAAUAGAAGACAGUGAUGAAGAGGAGGAUGGUGUGGAAGAUGACGAGGACGAUGAUGAUGACGACGACGACGAUGAAGAGGAUGAGGAGGAAGUUGAUAAUGAUGAUGGGGAUUUUGCGGAGCCAGAGAGCACGGGGAGGUUAAAUAGCACUGAAGGGGAGAUUGAUGGGCAUGAGCAGGGGGAAGAUGAUGCAGAUGAGGAUGAUGAUGGGGAGACAGGGGAGGAGCAGGGUGUUGAGGAAGAUGGUGAUUUCGAUGAUGAAGAGGAGGCUGAAGAUGAGGAGGAAGAUAAUGGCAAUGGCUACCUUGUUCAACCAGUUGGUCCUAUUGAAGUAGAUGAUGCUGAAGGCAGUGAUAUGGAGCCAGUAAAUGGUGAUGAAGAUCCUGAGUUGGAGGAAGAAGUUGAAGAUGAAGAGGACGACUAUGGUGAAGUUCAAGAGGUGCCACCUUCCUCCUCUCAAAAGAGGAAGCGGGAUGAUGACGAUGAUGAUGGUGGUGAAGAAGAUGACGAUGAAGAGUAUGCAAAGUCAUCCAAGCACCGUUAGUGACUUUAUCUGUGGUGGGUUUGACGAAAGUGAUGAACUUGAGGAAUAGAUUUGUCUGGAGGCUGGAAGUAGUUGACUGUUGAACAUCUUUUCAUGGACAGGACACAUGUUUUGGUGGGAAAUUCAGGUCUUAGAGGUGGUGCCAGAUGGCAGCUGUUUGUGUGUCAAUUGAUUGCACCUAUUCGCUGAUCUUCCAACCAUGUGACCGAGCGAUGAUAUUGUACCAACCGGUCGAGAAUUUCGUUAAAUAAAGAAAAAACAAAGAGAAAAAAAGCAAUGGUCCCAUACGCAAAAAAAGGGAUAAAAGAAAACAACGCGCUUAUAUUCUGUUGUAACAUUUUAUACCACCAGCCAGCCCAUCAGUUUGGUGCCAUCUCGGGUAUCUUCAAAGCAGAUUUUUGGCCCUUGUAAAAGUAAUUUUGGGCUUGGAAGCCCAAAACUGUGGGUGUCAAAUGAUGGAUAUGCGCCUUGAAUAGAUUGAGCUGCUACGUUAGAAGGUGAUUAAGGGUAGAGCAGGCCAAUGACUGUACUGAGUUUGGGCCGGCUUAAGUAUAGCAGGAUUCGGCCUGCCUUGGGUUUUCCAUCAAAACUUUGGUCCAAGCUGUCAAUGCGCGUAAACUUCACAAGCUGGUUGCGACAAAAUGGGAUUCGUCUUGUUUGUUUAUUGGUACUUGCAAGGCAAAUUACGUUACAAAGAGAUGCAGCGUGUGUGCGCUUGGAUUUGUAUUUAAUUUCUUGAACUUCGAUUAUUGUAUUCAAAUCAAUGGUAAUACAUCCAUCCUUAUUUCUUCCUUCCUCA